rnacentral:lncRNA from 1 species
UUGGGUUAAAAAGGAAUGUUGGGUCGGCUGGGCCGAGCCCAACCCAUUUCUUCUUCCUUUCUCUCUCUCUCCCUCCCGAUUUUUCUUCUCUUCCCACCCGAUUUUCUUCUCUCUACACCCAGCAAACUUCCGGCCGUCCUCCCGCCGCCGUCCGACCUCCGUUCACCGCCGGACCGGUCCCGUUCGGUCGGUCUCCCUCCCAGCAACAUUUCUAGACCGGUGAGAGGAGCCCUAGCGCCGCCGUGAGAGAGCGGUGCCGCUCGAAAGCAAGGGCUGCCGUAGCUCUCCUUCGCCGGAACUUCCUCCUCCGGCCACCAAUCCGGGCAAGCUUGGUAUGGUUUUGUAGCCCUCCAACCCAGCAACCUUGCCCUAAAAGGACUCACUCCCUCUUGAGCUAGGUAAGGAGAAAUUUGAAGUGGAAGUUUUAUGGUGUUUUUGAUGUUUUUAGUCGAUUGCCCUAGUUAGGCUUGGAAUUGGUGUUUGUGCUAGUUAUGAAAGUUGUAGAGCUUGAUGAGAGGAAGAUGCUGUUAAAAUUUCAUAGGUUUUGGAGGUCGCCGGAAUUGACCUCCGGCCGCCGCUGCCGGCGGAGCCGCCGGCGGCGCCGCCGCCGGUUGGGAGAUUUUAAUGUUGUUAAAUUUGGAAUAUUAAGGGGAGUUUAUUGAAGUGAGUUAUGGAAUUUUUGGAUGAGUUUUGGAUAGGUUUAUAAAUUUCCAAAGUGUGGUAUUUUUGGCGGGUAAUUAAUGUAGAAUCCGGCCGUUGGAUUUAAGUCGUAUUUCGGAGAGGUUGUAUUUACGACUAUUGAGUAUGAUAUUUAAGUUCGGAUCGUCCGAUGUAAGAAUAUCGAAGUUAGGCAAUAAUGAGCGUAAUUAUGGCUCUCGGGUAAUUUUGCCUAUUUUGAUUAAAUAUUGGAUAUUGGUUGGGAAAUUAAUAUUAUAUUUGGAACAGGACGUGAAGAGGCUCGAGCAGACGAGACCCCAGAUUGACAUCAGGCUUAGGCCUAAUUCGUGAGUGGACGUUUAUUUUAAAUAAAUGCAUGCUAUAGUUCAUGGUUGAACAAUUAAUAUUGCGGAAUAUUUUAACGUCAUUUUAAUUUGACGAU